rnacentral:rRNA from 1 species
AAAGGAAUUGACGGGGGCCCGCACAAGCGGUGGAGCAUGUGGUUUAAUUCGAAGCAACGCGAAGAACCUUACCAGGGCUUGACAUCCCUUGUCCGCUGUAGAAAUACAGUUUCUCUUCGGAGCAAGGAGACAGGUGGUGCAUGGUUGUCGUCAGCUCGUGUCGUGAGAUGUUGGGUUAAGUCCCGCAACGAGCGCAACCCUUGCUUUUAGUUGCCAGCAUUAAGUUGGGCACUCUAAAGGGACUGCCGGUGACAAACCGGAGGAAGGUGGGGAUGACGUCAAAUCAUCAUGCCCCUUAUGUCCUGGGCUACACACGUGCUACAAUGGUCUGUACAAAGGGAAGCUAAGCAGUGAUGCGGAGCGGAUCCCAGAAAACAGAUCUCAGUUCGGAUUGCAGGCUGCAACUCGCCUGUAUGAAGCCGGAAUCGCUAGUAAUCGCAGGUCAGCAUACUGCGGUGAAUACGUUCCCGGGCCUUGUACACACCGCCCGU